ACAGACUCCUGAGCAAUUUCCACGUCCCCAUGCAUGCCCGACCUAAGAAGUAUGUGUUGAAUUUGGAUGGACAGAGCCACAGAAAUCCAAGGACUGGGAGUGAAGAUGUUCCGAGUGUUGCCGAAACACACAUUUCCUUUAUACUGGAAAAGAACUAACUGAAUAAGAAGAAAAUGUUUGCAGUGACACCAGGUUCAAAUGUUCUCGAAAAGCACCUCAUUGGGAACACAGAGCAGAAAAGACACAGGCUCUGCCCUCCAAGCGGGGAGGCCAAAGCGUGAGAGAGAAGUGAUGACAACACAGCCUGCUGAUGGCCAGGAUGGCGCCAUGCAGGAAAAAUGAAGGCCUGGAAGGAUGCCCGGAGCCUGGUGACAUUCAUGUCAACGGGAAGAAACCCAGCACUGCCAAAGGCC